rnacentral:misc_RNA from 1 species
GUGAAUCAUCAAAUUUUUGAACGCAAAUUGCACUCCCUGGUAUUCCGGGGAGUAUGCCUGUUUGAGGGUCGUUAGAAUAAAAAAUCGAUGCGGCGCUCUUUUUUCAAGGGUGAGUGCGUCGGAAUUGAGGUGUCUUUCAAAUGUUAAUUCAUGUCAAUUUUGCUUGAAAUUCAUCCAUCUGGUACGAUUGAAGCGUAUUCAAGAUCAAUUUUGAUUGAGAACGCGCGAUGACGUACCAUCUCAUGUCGAUCGUUUGACCUGGGUC